UACGUAGGUGGCAAGCGUUUGUCCGGAUUUAUUGGGUUUAAAGGGUGCGUAGGCGGCCCUGUAAGUCAGUGGUGAAAUACUCUAGCUUAACUAGAGGGGUGCCAAUGAUACUGCAGGGCUUGAGUACAGAUGAGGUAGGCGGAAUUGACGGUGUAGCGGUGAAAUGCAUAGAUAUCGUCAAGAACACCGAUAGCGAAGGCAGCUUACUGGGCUGUAACUGACGCUGAUGCACGAAAGUGUGGGGGAUCAAACAGG
rnacentral:rRNA from 1 species